UCAAGUUCUUUAACAUAAUCACCUCUGCAAAGUCAAAAGGAACUUUUGCCAUAUAAGGUGACAUUCAUUGGUUUCUGGGAUUAGAAUAUAGAUACAUUUACAGGGGGAGGGGGCAUGAUUUAGCCUGCCACAAACCUCCACAUUUUAUAGAUAAGAAUGUUCAGACCCAGCUUGGUGUAAGACCAUAAAAGUAGACAGUGACAGACCUGGGCUUAUAACUCACUGUCCCUGACUUCCAGUUUGUUUCCACAGCACCAUGGCGUAAGUCUUAUGCUUUCAAUAAGGAAUUGGUGGUGAUUCCUGAAGGCAAAGAUCCCAGCCAGCUGAGACUGGGACUGAUCAGAAGCAUCCAGAGUAGCCACUCAGGAGUGGAGAAGCCUCUUCCUGCUUAGUGUCACUGGGCAAGCACCAAUUUGAGAAAACAGUAAACAUAGAAGAAUGUUCCCAGGAUUUUGAAAAGGGUGACAAUAACCUGGAAACUAGAAGCUAUGCAAAGGAGGGGAAAGGGAUGCAUGGGAUUUUCAGGACUUCAGAUGCUCCAGUGAUGAAUGAAGGAUGGAUUAUGUAG
rnacentral:lncRNA from 1 species